rnacentral:rRNA from 1 species
AAGCGUAUAUUAAAGUUGUUGCAGUUAAAACGCUCGUAGUCGGGUUUCGGGUCGGGCCGAGCGGUCUGCCGAUGGGUAUGCACUGUUUGGCGCGGCCUUCUUUCCGGAGACCGCGGCUACUCUUAACUGAGCGGGCGUGGGAGACGGAUCGUUUACUUUGAAAAAAUCAGAGUGUUUCAAGCAGGCAGCUCGCUCUUGCAUGGAUUAGCAUGGGAUAAUGAAAUAGGACUCUGGUGCUAUUUUGUUGGUUUCGAACACCGGAGUAAUGAUUAACAGGGACAGUCAGGGGCACUCGUAUUCCGUCGAGAGAGGUGAAAUUCUCAGACCAAUGGAAGACGAACCACUGCGAAAGCAUUUG